rnacentral:lncRNA from 1 species
CCCCCACCCGCCCCCCAAGAGCUUCAGAGGCCCUAUAGGUGACUGAGAACAUGCUCAGGUGGGGGCCCAUCAGGCUUGAUUUGCACCUGGUUGAAGCUCUUGCAAUUGUAGCCCACCCACCCCAUCCCACGCUAACCACCAUCUCAGGCAGGACGAUCAUGACCCACACAUGCAUCUUUACCAUCUCAGGCUUUCCGUGGGCGGCGCCUGGGUUUCAGCCUCACGCAGCCGCGUUGGCCCAGAGCAGGCUUCUUGCAAAGGUCUCUUCCGCCCGCCGCGCUGUCCCCGCUGCUUGCGCUGCUGGUGGGAUGUUUUCAAGCGGGUGAUCGAAGUCCACGUCAAGGACCCCCCGACACCCUAUCUGCUUACAAAUAAUGCCCAUUUAAGAAAGAAACAGCUACCAAGUGGGGCAAGCAACUUGGCUGUAUUCCAAGCCCUGGUUCCACCUGUUCCAAGCUCCUCAGGCUUCUACCUGUACUUUCUUGUCUGGAACUUGUUCCUAUGUAGAGGACUUACUGCAGAAGGCAAUGGCACCCCACUCCAGUACUCUUGCCUGGAAAAUCCCAUGGACGGAAGACUUCUCUCUAGGUGAGGAAAUGUGGGCAUGAAGUAAAAUCUGAGAAU